UCCCUGGUGGUCCAGUGGCUAAGACUCUGUGCUCCUGAUACAUAGGGCCUGGGUUCGAUCCCUGGUCAGGGAA
rnacentral:tRNA from 1 species